AUACGGAGGGUCCAAGCGUUAUCCGGAAUCAUUGGGUUUAAAGGGUGCGCAGGCGGUUUAUUAAGUCAGUGGUGAAAUCUCGGGGCUCAACCUCGAAACUGCCAUUGAUACUGAUAAACUUGAGUUCAGUUGGAGUAGGCGGAAUGUGUAGUGUAGCGGUGAAAUGCUUAGAUAUUACACAGAACACCGAUAGCGAAGGCAGCUUACUAAACCGAUACUGACGCUGAGGCACGGAAGCGUGGGGGGCGAACAGGAUUAGAAACCCUAGUAGUCC
rnacentral:rRNA from 1 species